UACGAGGGGGGCGAGCGUUGUCCGGAAUCACUGGGCGUAAAGGGCGCGUAGGCGGCUCAUGAAGGCUGUGGUGAAAGUCCGGGGCUCAACCUCGGAUCGGCCGUGGCGACUCGUGGGCUGGAGUACUGUAGAGGCGGGUGGAAUUCCGGGUGUAGCGGUGGAAUGCGUAGAUAUUCGGAAGAACACCAGUGGCGAAGGCGACUCACUGGACACGUAUUGACGCUGAGGUGCGAAAGCGUGGGGAGCAAACAGG
rnacentral:rRNA from 1 species